rnacentral:rRNA from 1 species
GACGAACGCUGGCGGCGUGCUUAACACAUGCAAGUCGAACGGAAAGGCCCUGCUUUUGUGGGGUGCUCGAGUGGCGAACGGGUGAGUAACACGUGAGUAACCUGCCCUUGACUUUGGGAUAACUUCAGGAAACUGGGGCUAAUACCGGAUAGGAGCUCCUGCUGCAUGGUGGGGGUUGGAAAGUUUCGGCGGUUGGGGAUGGACUCGCGGCUUAUCAGCUUGUUGGUGGGGUAGUGGCUUACCAAGGCUUUGACGGGUAGCCGGCCUGAGAGGGUGACCGGCCACAUGGGGACGGAGAUACGGCCCAGACUCCUACGGGAGGCAGCAGUGGGGAAUAUUGCACAAUGGGCGGAAGCCUGAUGCAGCAACGCCGCGUGCGGGAUGACGGCCUUCGGGUUGUAAACCGCUUUCGCCUGUGACGAAGCGUGAGUGACGGUAAUGGGUAAAGAAGCACCGGCUAACUACGUG